rnacentral:rRNA from 1 species
CUACUUGAAUUCACUUCGGUGAUAGUAAGGUGGCGGACGGGUGAGUAACACGUAAAGAACUUGCCUUGCAGUCUGGGACAACUAUUGGAAACGAUAGCUAAUACCGGAUAUUAUGCGUGAGUCGCAUGACUCAUGUAUGAAAGCUAUAUGCGCUGCGAGAGAGCUUUGCGUCCCAUUAGCUAGUUGGUGAGGUAACGGCUCACCAAGGCCACGAUGGGUAGCCGGCCUGAGAGGGUGAACGGCCACAAGGGGACUGAGACACGGCCCUUACUCCUACGGGAGGCAGCAGUGGGGAAUAUUGGACAAUGGACCAAAAGUCUGAUCCAGCAAUUCUGUGUGCACGAUGAAGUUUUUCGGAAUGUAAAGUGCUUUCAGUUGGGACGAAGAACGUGACGGUACCAACAGAAGAAGCGACGGCUAAAUACGUGCCAGCAGCCGCGGUAAUACGUAUGUCGCAAGCGUUAUCCGGAUUUAUUGGGCGUAAAGCGCGUCUAGGUGGUUUGGUAAGUCUGAUGUGAAAAUGCGGGGCUCAACUCCGUAUUGCGUUGGAAACUGCCAAACUAGAGUACUGGAGAGGUGGGCGGAACUACAAGUGUAGAGGUGAAAUUCGUAGAUAUUUGUAGGAAUGCCGAUGGAGAAGUCAGCCCACUGGACAGAUACUGACGCUGAAGCGCGAAAGCGUGGGUAGCAAACAGGAUUAGAUACCCUGGUAGUCCACGCUGUAAACGAUGAUUACUAGGUGUUGGGGGUCGAACCUCAGCGCCCAAGCUAACGCGAUAAGUAAUCCGCCUGGGGAGUACGUACGCAAGUAUGAAACUCAAAGGAAUUGACGGGGACCCGCACAAGCGGUGGAGCAUGUGGUUUAAUUCGACGCAACGCGAGGAACCUUACCAGCGUUUGACAUCCCAAGAAGUUAACAGAGAUGUUUUCGUGCCU